UCCUUAUAAUAGGAGAGUUUUGUAGAGCAAUGGUAAGCAUUUGCCUCUCUAUUUUCUUCUCUCGGUACAAAUCUAAAACAAAUUUUUUGAAAAAAAGCAGAGAUAACAAGGAUAUAAUGUUGAAUCUUGUGGAGCUCUUUCUGGGCGUGAAGCAUCGCAAGCCUUUCAGCCAUCAAUGGUGAUCUGACAUGAGGCGAUGAAGUGGAGUCGGAUAUCUUUAUACCCGAUCUAUGUUUGAGAAUUGCCAGCCUAAUCCCGCUUUACGAGAGAUCGCAUCCCAAGCCGCAUCCGUUUGGAGUAUCAACACAUUGGAUCAUGGGGUGGGGAUACUCUCUUUAGGGCAAAUUUGUUUUGGUUCAUGGAUCGUUCCCUGGGCUAACUGCCAUUCACGAGCUAGGUAUAUCGUAGUUGAUACGGUUUCCCCUGGAGAAUCGUGACGUUUGGAGAAGAUCUGGUGGUUAUGCUCCAUCCAGAUCUUCUAGAGAAUCUAAGGGCGAAUGGGGCCUUGUCCAGAUCCGGAAGGUGGCAAAGUGAUGGUGCCUUGGAGUGUUUCAAAACCCUCUCUAAUGGUAGUAAAAUGAUGCGGGUUCAAUGGUACUAUCAGAGGAGCGAGGUUCCAGACUUCUUUGGCGAAUCUGUAAGAGAAGAAGAGGUGUAGAGUGGACUCAAGGUUUCCACACAAAGGGCAGACCGCAUCUUUGUUCACAUUUCAUGCCCUUAAGUUUUCCCCACCGAUAAUGCUCCUCUCAUCAAUUUUUACAUAAAGAAUUUAAUCUUUGGUGAAGUUCUUGUACUCUAAAUGUAAGCAUUCCACUUGAAGCCUCUAUUCAAAUCUUGUUGUAGGGUAUCUUCUGGGUAGUGGAUGAUGCUCUCAUAGUAGCCAAAUUUUGCAGAGUAGAUACCAAAUGUCGUUUGUAGCCGGAAGAGAUAUCAGAUAUGCAACAGUGUGGGCUUCUGUAUCUUCCAAGGGAGGGCCCAUUGGUAUCAGUGGGGAGGUAAGAAAGAUCCAAGGAUCUGUCCAAAUGAGGGUAUCAUUCCCAUUACCAAUUACCUUCCCUAGCUGUGAUUUCAGGAGAACUUUGCCAAUUAGGAUUCCCCUCCAAUCUUCUUCUUUUUGGAAG